rnacentral:lncRNA from 1 species
AACACUGAACUGAGUUUAUGGAUGAUGCUCAACAAUUUAUUGUUGAUUAACUGAUUGAUUGAUUCUGUUGCUAUGGAAACCAUCAGAUUCUAGUACAACAGUGGGAUUCCUUCCUGACUUUAUGCUUGACAAAAUGCUGACUCUCUGUGCUUGCUUCUCCCAGCUUGCCACCUCCAUCUGGGUCAGGAGGAGCAAUUGGAAGCAGAAGCUCCAAGAGAAAGGUGGGAAUGUUGGUAAACCCAGGUGAAAAAAAGCAACAAGGAGGGUUGCUAGGAGAAAUGAAUGAAAUGAUACAAGUAAGGUAGAAAGCAGAGUGCUUUCUACAAGCCAAGAAGUGGCCCCCCAACAGAUACCAAGCUCUGGACCUCCUGGUGCCUUGAUUUUGGACUUCCCAGCCUUUUUCAGACCUGUGAGAAAGGUCCGCCGCAUCUUGGAAGGAAACUUCAAAGCUCAUUUAAAGUCAGCCUCUCACAUAGCCCUGCUGGUCUAACUUUCUUCUGAAUGUGAUUUCAGAAGUAAAACCAGGCCAGGGGCUGGGACUCAGGACAGUGCUAGGACUGCUUUUUUCUAUAUCAGACACGUGGGCUCCUGCUGUGUCUUCCUGGAAAGCAGAGGCCAAGGAUGGAGCAGACCAAGAGGAUGCCAGGAAAAAUCACAAAGAAGCCCAGAAAGCACAGCUGGAAGCCAAGAACCCUAUUUUUGGUUUGUGUGGGUGGAAGGUGAGGGACAACAUAUAGUGACCAACAGGAUUCUUCAUUUGAAAGAGAAUGGAGUACAUCAGACCUGUGUAUUUAGGUGAAGUAUGAUAAACAUCAUCAUACUUCAAAGAUUAUGAACAUCAAAGAUUAUGGAAAGGAACAUGACUGCUUAGUUUAUUCCAUUACCAGUGAUCUGCUUGUUUGUUCAUUUGCUUACCCAUCCAUUCAUUUAUUCAUUCAUUCCUCCAUCCAUUCUCUUUCACUUAUUCUACAAUCAUGAUUGUAUGCCUACCAUAUCGCUAGAGAGAGGGCAGGAAAAGAUCCAAGGAUGUGAAUACAAUCUUCUGCUUCAUGAUGAGAGCUAAAGGAAUCUGUAAAGACUUUGUCUUUUUCAUUUUUCUCUCUCCUACAUAGACCCUGGAAAAUGUUUUAUUUCUUAUAAUUUGCCUGAGGUUUACUCAUCCACUACCAGAGCUCUGAAAACACUCUUCAGAACACUAUUUUAAAAUAAUGACAAUGACAAUAAUAGAUAACAUAUAUUCAGUGUUUUUUGUAUGUGAAGCAAUGUAAUAACCAUUUAAAAUGAUUGUAACUAUACUUUAUAAGAGUAUGAUGAAACAGGCACUAUUAAAAUGCUAGUUUUUCACACAGCUAAUAUGAGAGAGAGCUGGGAUUUGGAGCCUCCAUUCAUGGCCAUUAUAUGGUCUGUCUAAUGAAUGAAAUGUUUGACCUUAGAGAAAACUUGAAAUGCAUAGUUUUCUUUGCUGACUUGAAUGAUAUAAGUUUAAAAAUCCGAUAGUGGUUGCUAGUUGAAAAUUCCUAUUCCUUGGGAAACUGUUGAAAGUCUGUUUAGUACUAACCCCCCUCAUUAAUGGCCAUUUGCAAAGCCAGGCCAAGUUUAGUCUUCUACCAGCACUGAAGAAACACAUUUUUACCCAGAAGAAAUGAGGGUGAAAUCCUCUGAUAACUGGAAGAUGCUGGAUGUUCUGGAAAGAAAAGUAAUUUUUUUUUCAAUCUCUGGAAAUUGCUUUUUUUGUUUUAAGUAAGGGUGGCUCAGUAGAUGCUAACAGAGAAGCUGGGAUCAGCUAAUCUGGAGAAGAUUCUGAGAGAAUGAGUUGGGGAAGCUCACACUGAGAAAAUGAGAAGAUUGGUAGGAAGGGCGGUUUCUUGCUGUGUCCAAGAACAGGAAUUGAGAAAUGGUAUUAAGCUGAAGGUGAGAGGGGAACAAAGAAGACUUUGAAAGUUGCAUACAGGUUUGAAACAAAGUAUACCACAAGGAAUGGGAACAUGUAGAGCUGUUUUAAAAAUGUUUCUGUGUUUGUGUGAGUGUGUGUACUAGAUAUAUUUUUAAAAUGACUUUUCUCGGAAUUACAUCAUACUUUGAAGAUCAGCAUAGGAAGUGAAGAAGGAACAAAUAUUCACUGAGAGCAUUCACUAAGGGCCAGGAGCUCCCUGAAUACCACAUAUGCCACCGCUCUCUCUUGUGAUCCUGAAGGUCUGUGAGGCAGUUAUCACUAUGUAUGGUAUAUUUUCAAAGAAAGCAAAUAAAACCCAAUGUGACUAAGAAAGAUGCUAAAGUCAUACAGCUAAUUAGCUGUGGGUCCAGGAUUCAAACCAGUGCACCCAGCACAUGGUCUUCAAUAAAUAUUUAUUGAGCAGUGAAUACAUGAAUGAGUAAAUAAGAUGAAGCAAGCAAGCAAGCAGGUAGGCUUGUCUAACCCAAGUGUUCAUGUUCUAUCCUCUGUACUGGUGGUUUUUAAAUUGUGUGCCACAAAGGCCUUGGGUAACAUGAGGAGGGUUAGUAUGAGUGGCUGUCUAGCAGCAUGGGGCCCCAGGCUCCCUAUCUCUACUCCAACCAGGGCAUCUCUGCUUCUGUUUGUGUUAAACAUUGGGCUUUUGCCUGAGGUUUCAUUUGAAGAAGAGGGCCUUCUUCUAGAAAGUGUUUAUUACUCCUGCCCCAUGCCGUGUUCCCUCCUAAGUAUGCAUUAUGAACUAGUUAAGUUUAAUAAAGACAUAUAUUACUGUAAAGUUGGAAUUUAUACCAGUGUCUGAAUUCCAGUAGCAGCCCCCAUAUCUUGGUAAUCGAAAGCCAACUGUUUCUAAUAUCCGGCAUGCUGCUGAGGCCAUUAACAAUAGAUGAGCCAUCUAGGGCAUUAUGGCUAGCAGCCGGGACUACAACUUCAAGCUGUCUAGGUUCAACUGUGGCUCUGCCAUGACCUGGUGAAAUCUCAGGUAAAUGAUUCGACCUCUCCACACUUUAGCUUCCUCAUCCAUGAAAUGUGAUAGCUACCUUAUACAGCAUGGAAACUUUGUGCUCCAGUAAUAUGAAUGGGCUCACUAUAGCCAAGUGCACUUAGUUCCCUUGAUCUCACGUUUUUGUUUAUGCUGGCUCCCAACUUAAUGUGGUCUUCUCACUUUUCAUCUGACUGUGAAAACUCCAACCAAAGGUACUUAUAUUCCUCCCACUCAAUAAAUAUGAUGGCCUUGGUGUCAGUAAGGCGACAUGUGAAGAGAGAUAUCAGUCUGGCUUGCCAUACAUUACAAGAAUUUGCAGGCUUACCCUGACAGUCCUAGUCCAUGGGAGUGGGUGAUGGGGUACUAUUGUGUCACUGUCCGGGGUCCUGAAUAAUUAAAGAGUGCACAGUGGCUUUUACAAGAAUACUAAGAAUUAUUUAUUUGUUAAGGUAACACUAUCUGCUGUAGUAGGUAACCCUCUCUACCCCCAAAUCUGAGUAGCUUACCAUAUUAGAAGUCUUUUCCUGUUCUCAUAGGGUUCCAUUGGUGCUGGGGGUGAGGAGGGGAGGUGGUAAAGGGGUUUGUUCCACACAACCAUUCAGAGAUUCAUAUUGAUGAAGACGGCCAUCUUCAACAUAUAGUUUCCAGAGUUGUUCUGGGCUCAGUAUUUAGACUCCAGGUGGUAUAUCAGAGGAGAGAAGGAGAGUAGAGAACUGUGUGGCAGAUUUUUAUGAACCAGAUCUAGAAGGGACAUUCAUCACUGUCACUGGGAUGCUGUUAAUUAAAACUCGAGCAUACAACCAUUCCUAAGAAUAAAAGAGGCAGUGGGAUGUUGCUUAUUUGUGAGUUCAUUGGAAAAUCACUAGCUUGUUUUUGCCACAAAAUAUUUUUUAUGUUGUUAC